CAGCACUGGGAGCCCAGUCACUGCUCGACUAGCUGCACUCCUACUGCUUCUGCUCCCGGGGGAACAGGAGCACGGGUACCGCCUGUGGGAGCAGGUAGAGAAGGACCGAGAGCUGAAGAGGGACAGCAGCCGACAGCCGGGUGCACACUCUGCAGGAGGAGCUGGACGAGCUGAAGGGAGGGGGCUCCCUAACUGAGCAGCCUGCUGCCCCCCGCCGAGCGCCAGCUGCAGAGCUCCAGCUGGUGGCAGAAGCAGAGUAGUGGGCAGUGGUGGAGGUAGAGCUGGCUCCAGCUCCGUUGACACCACCCCCUCUAGCGCUGGAGCCAGCGUCCCCUCCACCAGCAGUGUUGGAGCUGGAGCAAGGACCAACAUGGGCUCCAGCAGGAGUGGGAGCUGCUGAGAUGGAGUCACCUGGACCAUCAUUUCUAGUGGGAAGUCCAUCUCCACCUGUGGCUAAGAAGCCUGAAAGAAGCCUAACCUCACGGCCUUCCCUCCUAAGCUGGUGGUGGAGCAGUUGACCGUGAUGGAUGCGGAGUGCGAGAUCCUGAAGAACUUCUCACCGCGCUCUGUCAUCUCUGCUCUGCAGAAAACAUCCAUAUGCCACCUGAAGAACACAUGGGGGAGGUUUCCUGGGAAAGCUCUGAAAAACUUAAGGAGCGCUAUAGCCAAGACGAGUCCUUAAGCAGAGAACUGAUGACCAAGGUAGAGU